AUUGAACGCUGGCGGCAUGCCUUACACAUGCAAGUCGAGCGGCAGCGCGGGGGCAACCCUGGCGGCGAGCGGCGGACGGGUGAGUAAUGCAUCGGAACGUGUCCUCUUGUGGGGGAUAACCAGUCGAAAGAUUGGCUAAUACCGCAUGAGCUCGUAAGAGGAAAGCGGGGGAUCCGUAAGGACCUCGCGCGAGAGGAGCGGCCGAUGCCCGAUUAGCUAGUUGGGGGGUAACGGCCUACCAAGGCGACGAUCGGUAGCUGGUCUGAGAGGACGACCAGCCACACUGGGACUGAGACACGGCCCAGACUCCUACGGGAGGCAGCAGUGGGGAAUUUUGGACAAUGGGCGAAAGCCUGAUCCAGCCAUGCCGCGUGUGUGAAGAAGGCC
rnacentral:rRNA from 1 species